rnacentral:rRNA from 1 species
AUUGAACGCUGGCGGCAGGCCUAACACAUGCAAGUCGAGCGGAGCGGCGGACGGGUGAGUAAUGCCUAGGAAUCUGCCUGGUAGUGUGGGAUAACGUCCGGAAACGGGCGCUAAUACCACAUACUAUCAGAUGAGCCUAGGUCGGAGUAGCUAGUGGGUGGGGUAAAGGCCUACCAAGGCGACGAUCCGUAACUGGUCUGGGAGGAUGAUCAGUCACAGGGGAACUGAGACACGGUCCAGACUCCUACGGGAGGCAGCAGUGGGGAAUAUUGGACAAUGGGCGAAAGUCUGAGCCAGCCAUGCCGGGUGUGUGAAGAAGGUCUCCGGAUUGUAAAGUACUUUAAGUGUGGAGGCGGUACCAAAAGAAUAAGCACCGGCUAACUUCGUGCCAGCAGCCGCGGUAAUAC